UGGGGAAUAUUAGACAAUGGGGGGAACCCUGAUCCAGCCAUGCCGCGUGUGUGAAGAAGGCCUUUUGGUUGUAAAGCACUUUAAGCGAGGAGGAGGCUACCGAGAUUAAUACUCUUGGAUAGUGGACGUUACUCGCAGAAUAAGCACCGGCUAACUCUGUGCCAGCAGCCGCGGUAAUACAGAGGGUGCAAGCGUUAAUCGGAUUUACUGGGCGUAAAGCGCGCGUAGGUGGCCAAUUAAGUCAAAUGUGAAAUCCCCGAGCUUAACUUGGGAAUUGCAUUCGAUACUGGUUGGCUAGAGUAUGGGAGAGGAUGGUAGAAUUCCAGGUGUAGCGGUGAAAUGCGUAGAGAUCUGGAGGAAUACCGAUGGCGAAGGCAGCCAUCUGGCCUAAUACUGACACUGAGGUGCGAAAGCAUGGGGAGCAAACAGG
rnacentral:rRNA from 1 species